GACGAACGCUGGCGGCGUGCUUAACACAUGCAAGUCGAGCGGUAAGGCCCUUUCGGGGGUACACGAGCGGCGAACGGGUGAGUAACACGUGGGUGACCUGCCUUUAGCUCUGGGAUAAGCCUGGGAAACUGGGUCUAAUACCGGAUACGACUCCGCGGUGCAUGCUGUGGGGUGGAAAGCCUUGUGCGGCUGGAGAUGGGCCCGCGGCCUAUCAGCUUGUUGGUGGGGUGAUGGCCACCAAGGCGACGACGGGUAGCCGGCCUGAGAGGGCGACCGGCCACACUGGGACUGAGACACGGCCCAGACUCCUACGGGAGGCAGCAGUGGGAAUCUUGCGCAAUGGCGAAAGCCUGACGCAGCGACGCCGCGUGAGGGAUGACGGCCU
rnacentral:rRNA from 1 species